CUAAAAUAUCACAAUUGAACGUUAUCACAUCGAAUUCGCCUGUACCAACGUAAUAUCCGAUACGCGCAAUUGAAAACUAAUAACGAUGGCGGUGAAUUUCUUCGCAAACUAAACGGUUAUUUUUUGAUUCCGAGCGUGACGAGGGAGCUGUUGGUUUUACAACGCUGUUUAUUUCUUGUUUUUUCUUCAUUUCUUUGUUCCAGUCUGCGGACACGUUUUUUUCCCAGCAAACUUGUUCCGAUUUUCGCGUGCAGCAACUUUUCUGAAAACCCAAGUUGUCUAGAUAGUACUUUGAUAUGCGUGGUCCCGACUUUACUGUUGGGCGUGUGCGCAAGAGAGAGAGGUAAGAGGUUAUUGCCCAUGUAAUAGACUUAAAAAUACAAAAAAAAAAAAAAAAAUAUACGAGUAAUCUAAUAUCGAAAUGCAUAUAUUUCAGC